rnacentral:rRNA from 1 species
GAUGAACGCUGGCGGCGUGCCUAAUACAUGCAAGUCGAGCGAACGGACGAGAAGCUUGCUUCUCUGAUGUUAGCGGCGGACGGGUGAGUAACACGUGGAUAACCUACCUAUAAGACUGGGAUAACUUCGGGAAACCGGAGCUAAUACCGGAUAAUAUUUUGCACCGCAUGGUUCAAAAGUGAAAGACGGUCUUGCUGUCACUUAUAGAUGGAUCCGCGCUGCAUUAGCUAGUUGGUAAGGUAACGGCUUACCAAGGCAACGAUGCAUAGCCGACCGGAGAGGGUGAUCGGCCACACUGGAACUGAGACACGGUCCAGACUACUACGGGAGGCAGCAGUAGGGAACCUUCCGCAAUGGGCGAAAGCCUGACGGAGCAACGCCGCGUGAGUGAUGAAGGUCUUCGGAUCGUAAAACUCUGUUAUUAGGUAAGAACAUAUGUGUAAGUAACUGUGCACAUCUUGACGGUACCUAAUCAGGAAGCCACGGCUAACUACGUG